UACGGAGGGUGCAAACGUUGCUCGGAAUCAUUGGGCGUAAAGCGCACGUAGGCGGCUCGUUAAGUCGGACGUGAAAGCCCCGGGCUCAACUCGGGAAGUGCAUUCGAAACUGGCGAGCUUGAAUAUGGAAGAGGGUCGCGGAAUUCCCGGUGUAGAGGUGAAAUUCGUAGAUAUCGGGAGGAACACCAGUGGCGAAGGCGGCGACCUGGGCCAAUAUUGACGCUGAGGUGCGAAAGCCAGGGGAGCAAACGGG
rnacentral:rRNA from 1 species